rnacentral:rRNA from 1 species
ACGUAUGGUCCGAGCGUUGUCCGGAAUGACUGGGUGUAAAGGGUGCGUAGGUGGACUUUUAAGUCAGGUGUGAAAUCCCCGGGCUCAACCUGGGAACUGCGCUUGAAACUGGAAGUCUGGAGUGGGUAAGAGGUAAGCGGAAUUCCCGGAGUAGCGGUGAAAUGCGUAGAGAUCGGGAAGAACAUCUGUGGCGAAGGCGGCUUACUGGUACUUAACUGACACUGAGGCACGAAAGCGUGGGGAGCAAACAG